rnacentral:rRNA from 1 species
AACGAACGCUGGCGGCAUGCCUAACACAUGCGAGUCGAACGAGACCUUCGGGUCUAGUGGCGCACGGGUGCGUAACGCGUGGGAACCUGCCCUUAGGUUCGGAAUAACUCCCCGAAAGGGGUGCUAAUAUCGGAUAAUGUCUUCGGACCAAAGAUUUAUCGCCUUUGGAUGGGCCCGCGUUGGAUUAGCUAGUUGGUAGGGUAAAAGCCUACCAAGGCGACGAUCCAUAGCUGGUCUGAGAGGAUGAUCAGCCACACUGGGACUGAGACACGGCCCAGACUCCUACGGGAGGCAGCAGUGGGGAAUAUUGGACAAUGGGCGAAAGCCUGAUCCAGCAAUGCCGCGUGAGUGAUGAAGGCCUUAGGGUUGUAAAGCUCUUUUACCCGGGAUGAUAAUGACAGUACCGGGAGAAUAAGCUCCGGCUAACUCCGUG